rnacentral:rRNA from 1 species
CCUACGGGAGGCAGCAGUGAGGAAUAUUGGUCAAUGGGCGUAAGCCUGAACCAGCCAAGUCGCGUGAGGGAUGAAGGCUCUAUGGAUCGUAAACCUCUUUUAUAAGGGAAUAAAGUGCGGGACGUGUCCCGCUUUGUAUGUACCUUAUGAAUAAGGAACGGCUAACUCCGUGCCAGCAGCCGCGGUAAUACGGAGGAUCCGAGCGUUAUCCGGAUUUAUUGGGUUUAAAGGGUGCGUAGGCGGCAUGUUAAGUCAGCGGUGAAAGUCUGUGGCUCAACCAUAGAAUUGCGGUUGAAACUGGGAGGCUGGAGUGUGUGAGAGGCAGGCGGAAUUCGUGGUGUAGCGGUGAAAUGCUUAGAUAUCACGCAGAACCCCGAUUGCGAAGGCAGCCUGCCGGGCCAUGACUGACGCUGAGGCGCGAAAGCGUGGGGAUCAAACAGGAUUAGAUACCCGAGUAGUC